rnacentral:rRNA from 1 species
UACCAGCACCCCGAGUGGUCGGGACGUUUUUAUUGGGCCUAAAGCAUCCGUAGCCGGUUCUACAAGUCUUCCGUUAAAUCCAACUGCUUAACAGGUGGGCUGCGGAAGAUACUAUAGAGCUAGGAGGCGGGAGAGGCAAGCGGUACUCGAUGGGUAGGGGUAAAAUCCGUUGAUCCAUUGAAGACCACCAGUGGCGAAGGCGGCUUGCCAGAACGCGCUA